AUGGCAGAGGAGAUUGCUGCCCUUGAGCGCAAUGGCACGUGGGACCUGGUUUCUCUUCCUCCCCGUGUUCGUCCCAUCACUUGUAAGUGGGUCUAUAAGAUUAAGACUCGCUCAGAUGGUUCUCUUGAGCGUUAUAAAGCUCGUCUUGUGGCUCGUGGCUUUCAGCAGGAGCAUGGUCGUGAUUACAAUGAUACUUUUGCUCCUAUGGCCCAUAUGACUACUGUUCGCACACUUCUUGCCGUGGCCUAUGUUCGCCACUGGUCUGUGUCUCAGCUUGAUGUUAAGAAUGCUUUUCUUAAUGGUGAGUUGCGUGAGGAAGUUUAUAUGCAGCCACCACCUGGGUAUUUAGUUCCUGAUGGCAUGGUUUGCCGUCUUCGUCGCUCUCUAUAUGGCCUUAAGCAAGCCCCCCGUGCUUGGUUUGAGCGUUUUGCCUUUGUGGUCACUGCAGCUGGUUUUUCGCCCAGCGCUCAUGAUCCAGCACUGUUUGUCCACCUUUCUGCUCGUGGUCGCACUCUUCUUCUUCUAUAUGUUGAUGACAUGAUCAUCACUGGCGAUGAUUCUGAGUACAUUGCUUUUGUUAAGGCCCGUCUCAGUGAGCAGUUUUUUAUGUCUGAUCUUGGUCCUCUACGUUACUUUCUUGGGAUUGAGGUUUCCUCCACCUCUGAUGGCUUUUAUAUUUCACAAGAAAAGUAUAUUCAUGAUCUUCUUGCUCGUGCGGCUCUUAGUGAUGAGCGCACUGCUGAGACUCCUAUGGAGCUCAAUGUUAACCUUCACGCUUCUGAUGGCGAGCUCCUGUCUGAUCCGACGCGUUACUGUCAUCUUGUUGGGAGUCUUGUCUAUCUUGCCGUCACUCGUCCAGAUAUCUCAUAUCCUGUCCAUAUUUUGAGCCAAUUUGUUUCCGCUCCCACUUCAGUUCACUAUAGUCACCUUCUUCGUAUUCUAUGA
rnacentral:rRNA from 1 species